rnacentral:tRNA from 1 species
GGGACUGUAGCUCAGUGGCAGAGCACUUGCCUUGCACGUGAGAGGUACUGGGUUCGAUCCUCAGCACCA